GGCGAACAGACAUGCUGACCCUCCUGGCUUUGGGCUGGAACAAAAGGAAAGUGGAACAACUGGGCCGCACUUUGAGCCAGAGAUAUCUAAAGAUCAUAAGGAUCCUUAGAGAACAAGUGGAGAGCCUGAAUGCGACCAGAAAUGAGCUGGGUGUAGAAGACGACACACUGCAGCAAUGGGUGGCCGAUGUGUAGAAAUGGGCUGAAGAAAGUGAUCAAACUGAUGGCAGCCUUGGAGCGUUGCAGGCACGAAUAGAGGAGCUUGUCGUCAUCAUCAGAGUGCGAACACAAAGUCUUUACAGAC